CGAAACACAAAGUAAAUUUUGAGCUAAGGGUUACAGUCCUUGAAAUCUGGAAAUUUCAAGUAUCCCUCGGGAUAGUGUCCCUGGGAGGCGGAUAGGAUUCAGCACUCUAGAAUUGUCUCACCAUUUGAAUAGGUGCUGCUCAGUCGUUUGGAGUCUGUUGUCGGAAAGACCAUGGCUUUCUAGCUUUUCAUCUUUUUGGAUGGCUGCUUGUCGCAAUAUUGUCUUCUUCGCUUUAGACAAGGUCUUACUAUGUUGACCGUGCUGGACUCGAAUUCCUGGGUUCAAGCAAUCCUUCUGCCUCAACCUUCUGAUUAGUUAGAAUACGGGUGUGCGCCACCAUGCCUGGCUUAGAAAAGGACUUUAUGUUGAACCUCUUUUCUCUUACAAUCAAAUAAUAAAUUCAUUGAGUCAUACUA
rnacentral:sRNA from 1 species